GCUGUGAUGGCCGAGAGGUUAAAGGCGUUGGACUUCGAAAUCCAAUGGGGUUUCCUGUGGAGUGAUAACAGGUUCGGAACCCUGCUUUCGCAGCG
rnacentral:tRNA from 1 species